UAGGGCGUAGCUUAAAAGCAAAGCAACUCAUUUACACCGAGUCGACUGUUCGAUCAAACCGAGCCUCCCUAA
rnacentral:tRNA from 1 species